GCCGGGGUGGCGAAGCUGGUAAACGCGGCGGACUUAAAAUCCGCUACCGGGAACGGUUCGCGGGUUCAAGUCCCGCCCCCGGCACCA
rnacentral:tRNA from 2 species